rnacentral:rRNA from 1 species
UACGGCGGUCAUAGCGGGGGGGCUACAUCCGAUCCCAUCCCGAACUCGGAAAUUAAGUCCCCCAGCGAUGCCCCGAGUACUGCCUUCCGGUGGGAAAGGGACGACGCCGCCGGCC